GAUGAACGCUGGCGGCGUGCCUAAUACAUGCAAGUCGAGCGAACAGACGAGGAGCUUGCUCCUCUGAUGUUAGCGGCGGACGGGUGAGUAACACGUGGAUAACCUACCUAUAAGACUGGGAUAACUUCGGGAAACCGGAGCUAAUACCGGAUAACAUGUUGAACCGCAUGGUUCAACAGUGAAAGACGGUCUUGCUGUCACUUAUAGAUGGAUCCGCGCCGCAUUAGCUAGUUGGUAAGGUAACGGCUUACCAAGGCAACGAUGCGUAGCCGACCUGAGAGGGUGAUCGGCCACACUGGAACUGAGACACGGUCCAGACUCCUACGGGAGGCAGCAGUAGGGAAUCUUCCGCAAUGGGCGAAAGCCUGACGGAGCAACGCCGCGUGAGUGAGGAAGGUCUUCGGAUCGUAAAACUCUGUUAUUAGGGAAGAACAAAUGUGUAAGUAACUAUGCACGUCUUGACGGUACCUAAUCAGAAAGCCACGGCUAACUACGUG
rnacentral:rRNA from 1 species